rnacentral:rRNA from 1 species
UNUGACUUGAGUGCAGAAGGGGAGAGUGGAAUUCCAUGUGUAGCGGUGAAAUGCGUAGAUAUAUGGAGGAACACCAGUGGCGAAAGCGGCUCUCUGGUCUGUCGCUGACGCUGAGGCUCGAAAGCGUGGGUAGCGAACAGGAUUAGAUACCCUGGUAGUCCACGCCGUAAACGAUGAGUGCUAGGUGUUAGGCCCUUUCCGGGGCUUAGUGCCGGAGCUAACGCAAUAAGCACUCCGCCUGGGGAGUACGACCGCAAGGUUGAAACUCAAAGGAAUUGACGGGGGCCCGCACAAGCGGUGGAGCAUGUGGUUUAAUUCGAAGUAACGCGAAGAACCUUACCAGGUCUUGACAUCCCGAUGCUAUUCUUAGAGAUAGGAAGUUACUUCGGUACAUCGGAGACAGGUGGUGCAUGGUUGUCGUCAGCUCGUGUCGUGAGAUGUUGGGUUAAGUCCCGCAACGAGCGCAACCCUUAUUGUUAGUUGCCAUCAUUAAGUUGGGCACUCUAGCGAGACUGCCGGUAAUAAACCGGAGGAAGGUGGGGAUGACGUCAAAUCAUCAUGCCCCUUAUGACCUGGGCUACACACGUGCUACAAUGGUCGGUACAACGAGUUGCGAGCCGGUGACGGCAAGCUAAUCUCUGAAAGCCGAUCUCAGUUCGGAUUGGAGGCUGCAACUCGCCUCCAUGAAGUCGGAAUCGCUAGUAAUCGCGGAUCAGCACGCCGCGGUGAAUACGUUCCCGGGCCUUGUACACACCGCCCGUCACACCACGAGAGUUUGUAACACCCGAAGUCGGUG